rnacentral:rRNA from 1 species
CCUACGGGUAGCAGUAGUGAGGAAUAUUGGUCAAUGGACGAGAGUCUGAACCAGCCAAGUAGCGUGAAGGAUGACUGCCCUAUGGGUUGUAAACUUCUUUUAUAUGGGAAUAAAACGUUCCACGUGUGGGAUUUUGUAUGUACCAUAUGAAUAAGGAUCGGCUAACUCCGUGCCAGCAGCCGCGGUAAUACGGAGGAUCCGCGCGUUAUCCGGAUUUAUUGGGUUUAAAGGGAGCGUAGGUGGAUUGUUAAGUCAGUUGUGAAAGUUUGCGGCUCAACCGUAAAAUUGCAGUUGAAACUGGCAGUCUUGAGUACAGUAGAGGUGGGCGGAAGUCGUGGUGUAGCGGUGAAAUGCUUAGAUAUCACGAAGAACUCCGAUUGCGAAGGCAGUUCACUGGACUGCAACUGACACUGAGGCUCGAAAGUGUGGGUAUCAAACAGGAUUAGAUACCCUAGUAGUC